GACGAACGCUGGCGGCGUGCUUAACACAUGCAAGUCGAACGGACAGGCCCUGCUUUUGUGGGGUGCUCGAGUGGCGAACGGGUGAGUAACACGUGAGUAACCUGCCCUUGACUUUGGGAUAACUUCAGGAAACUGGGGCUAAUACCGGAUAGGAUCUCCUGCUGCAUGGUGGGGGUUGGAAAGUUUCGGCGGUUGGGGAUGGACUCGCGGCUUAUCAGCUUGUUGGUGGGGUAGUGGCUGACCAAGGCUUUGACGGGUAGCCGGCCUGAGAGGGUGACCGGCCACAUUGGGCCUGAGAUACGGCCCAGACGCGUACGGGAGGCAGCAGUGGGGAAUAUUGCACAAUGGGCGGACGCCUGAGGCAGCAACGCCGCGUGCGGGAUGACGGCCUUCGGGUUGUAAACCGCUUUCGCCUGUGACGAAGCGUGAGUGACGGUAAUGGGUAAAGAAGCACCGGCUAACUACGUG
rnacentral:rRNA from 1 species